rnacentral:rRNA from 1 species
GGAAAUAAUAGGCUCGGCUUUAAAAGCUUGAGUAUAUAAUGAGGUGAACUUAAUCCACUUUCAGAAUCCUAUUAGAGGGCAAGUCUGGUGCCAGCAGCCGCGGUAAUUCCAGCUCUAAUAGCGUAUAUUAACGUUGUUGAUGUUAAAAAGCUCGUAGUUGAAGAUCCGGCCCUUUUGGGUCUGUCUGGGAGGCUGAUGGAUAAUGUAAAAGUUUUCUUUCAGUUGAAUAGACUUUUACUGUGAACAAAAUAGAGUGCUUAAAGCAAGCGAUAGCUUGAAUAUCUUAGCAUGGAAUAAUAGAAGAUGACUUUAUUCACUAUGUUGGUUUUUGAAUAGAGUAAUGGUUAACAGGAACAGUUGGGGGCAUUUGUAUUUAAUAGUCAGAGGUGAAAUUCCAAGACGGGUUAAAGACAGACUAAUGCGAAGGCAUUUGCCAAGGAUGUUUUCAUUAAUCAAGAACGAAAGAUACGGGGGAUCGAAGACGAUCAGAUACCGUCAUAGUCCCUUACCUUAUAACUAUA